UCGAACGCGAAAGGGGCUUCGGCCCUGAGUAGAGUGGCGAACGGGUGAGUAACACGUGGGUGACCUACCUUCGAAUGGGGGAUAACGUCCCGAAAGGGGCGCUAAUACCGCAUAACAUCCUGCCUUUGAAGAGGUGGAGAUCAAAGCUGGGGAUCGCAAGACCUGGCGUUUGAAGAGGGGCCCGCGUCCGAUUAGCUAGUUGGUGAGGUAAUGGCUCACCAAGGCGACGAUCGGUAGCCGGCCUGAGAGGGCGGACGGCCACACUGGGACUGAGACACGGCCCAGACCCCUACGGGAGGCAGCAGUGGGGAAUUGUUCGCAAUGGGCGCAAGCCUGACGACGCAACGCCGCGUGGAGGAUGAAGGUCUUCGGAUUGUAAACUCCUGUUGCCCGGGACGAACUACUUCGACCUAACACGUCGAAGUUUGACGGUACCGGGUGAGGAAGCCCCGGCUAACUCUGUGCCAGCAGCCGCGGUAAUACAGAGGGGGCAAGCGUUG
rnacentral:rRNA from 1 species